rnacentral:rRNA from 1 species
GAUGAACGCUGGCGGCGUGCCUAAUACAUGCAAGUCGAGCGAACAGACGAGUAGCUUGCUCCUCUGACGUUAGCGGCGGACGGGUGAGUAACACGUGGAUAACCUACCUAUAAGACUGGGAUAACUUCGGGAAACCGGAGCUAAUACCGGAUAAUAUAUUGAACCGCAUGGUUCAAUAGUGAAAGACGGUUUUGCUGUCACUUCUAGAUGGAUCCGCGCCGCAUUAGCUAGUUGGUAAGGUAACGGCUUACCAAGGCAACGAUGCGUAGCCGACCUGAGAGGGUGAUCGGCCACCCUGGAACUGAGACACGGUCCAGACUCCUAAGGGAGGCAGCAGUAGGGAAUCUUCCGCAAUGGGCGGAAGCCUGACGGAGCAACGCCGCGUGAGUGAUGAAGGUCUUCGGAUCGUAAAACUCUGUUAUGAGGGAAGAACAAAUGUGUAAGUAACUAUGCACGUAUUGACGGUACCUAAUCAGAAAGCCACGGCUAACUACGUG